GAUUUGUAGGUGUUAGGGGCUGGAACAGACCUUACAAGACCAUCAGGACCAGUCCCCCUACACUUGAGCAGGAAAGACUGCUGGGGCAGAUGACCCCAGCAGGGUGGGCAUUAAGAGGCUCUUCCUUUGAUGCCAGGUCCAUCUCCACAAGCAGUGCUGCCAUGAUGCCCUGGCUGCCCACCCCUCUCUUCUGCCCUCAAAUAAAUGAUCUACCUUCCCAAGCUGCUUCAAAAGUACCAGGAGGGAAAGAGCUAUUUUCCUGCUGUGGUCUCAAGUUGCAGCAAGGGAGGUGUAGGCUGGAUGUUAGGAAAAACUCUCACUAGGAGCAUGGUGAAACACUGGAACAGGUUACCCAGAGAGGUGGUGGACUCUCC